GGCUCCUUGGUCAAGUGGUUAAGACUCCGCCCUCUCACGGCGGCUACAGGGGUUCGAAUCCCCUAGGAGUCACCA
rnacentral:tRNA from 4 species